rnacentral:rRNA from 1 species
AACGAACGCUGGCGGCAUGCCUAACACAUGCAAGUCGAACGAGAUCUUCGGGUCUAGUGGCGCACGGGUGCGUAACGCGUGGGGAUCUGCCCUUUGGUUCGGAAUAACAGUUGGAAACGACUGCUAAUACCGGAUGAUGACGAAAGUCCAAAGAUUUAUCGCCAGAGGAUGAGCCCGCGUAGGAUUAGCUAGUUGGUGUGGUAAAGGCGCACCAAGGCGACGAUCCUUAGCUGGUUUGAGAGGAUGAUCAGCCACACUGGGACUGAGAAACGGCCCAGACUCCUACGGGAGGCAGCAGUGGGGAAUAUUGGACAAUGGGCGAAAGCCUGAUCCAGCAAUGCCGCGUGAGUGAUGAAGGCCUUAGGGUUGUAAAGCUCUUUUACCCGGGAUGAUAAUGACAGUACCGGGAGAAUAAGCUCCGGCUAACUCCGUGCCAGCCGCCGCCGUAA